GAUGAAGAACGUAGCGAAAUGCGAUAAGUAAUGUGAAUUGCAGAAUUCAGUGAAUCAUUGAAUCUUUGAACGCACAUUGCGCCCGCCAGCAUUCUGGCGGGCAUGCCUGUUCGAGCGUCAUUUCAACCCUCAAGCUCUGCUUGGUGUUGGGGCCCUACGGUUGACGUAGGCCCUUAAAGGUAGUGGCGGACCCUCUCGGAGCCUCCUUUGCGUAGUAACUAACGUCUCGCAUUGGGAUUCGGAGGGACUCUUGCCGUAAAACCCCCAAAUUUUCUAAUGGUUGACCUCGGAUCAGGUAGGAAUACCCGCUGAACUUAAGCAUAUCAAUAAGCGGAGGA
rnacentral:misc_RNA from 1 species